UACGAAGGGGGCUAGCGUUGUUCGGAAUCACUGGGCGUAAAGCGCACGUAGGCGGAUUUUUAAGUCAGGGGUGAAAUCCCAAGGCUCAACCUCGGAACUGCCUUUGAUACUGGGGAUCUGGAGUCCGGGAGAGGUGAGCGGAACUGCGAGUGUAGAGGUGAAAUUCGUAGAUAUUCGCAAGAACACCAGUGGCGAAGGCGGCUCACUGGCCCGGAACUGACGCUGAGGUGCGAAAGCGUGGGGAGCAAACAGG
rnacentral:rRNA from 1 species